rnacentral:lncRNA from 1 species
AUGAUUCGCAUGCUGCUAAAGCCGCGCUGGCCAGGCUUGCUUGACUUGUUCCUAUCUGCGUGGCUGACCCAGGAAGACACGCACAGAGGCAACGUAGGCGCCUAUACCGAAAGAGGCAGACAAUAGAGUUGGCCCAUGCGAGCGACGUGUGGACGGAGUGCAGCUGUUUCCAUCAUAGCAGAGCCCAACAUGUAAGAAGAUGUCUGUGGGAGGUUGUGCUUGUCCCGGUAAGUUCUCCAUCCCUUAUCUACUGUGCCUCUAUCUCAUGUUAAAGUGCUAGAAGUAUGCCGAG